rnacentral:rRNA from 1 species
ACGGCUACCUUGUUACGACUUAGCCCCAGUCACCAGUUUUACCUUAGGGCGCUCCUUGCGGUUGCACACUUCAGGCACUCCCGGCUUCCAUGGCUUGACGGGCGGUGUGUACAAGGCCCGGGAACGUAUUCACCGCGCCAUGGCUGAUGCGCGAUUACUAGCGAAUCCAGCUUCAUGGAGUCGAGUUGCAGACUCCAAUCCGAACUGAGACAGGCUUUCAAGUUCCGCUUUGCGUCGCCGCAUUGCUUCUCUCUGUACCUGCCAUUGUAACACGUGUGUCGCCCCGGACGUAAGGGCCGUGCUGAUUUGACGUCAUCCCCGCCUUCCUCACAGCUUGCGCCGGCAGUCUCGCCAGAGUCCCCAACUUGACUUGCUGGUAACUGGCGAUGGGGGUUGCGCUCGUUAUGGCACUUAAGCCGACACCUCACGGCACGAGCUGACGACAACCAUGCAGCACCUCGACACAGGCUCCUAAGAGCUACCUCCUUUCAAAAGUAUUCCUGUGUCGUUUG